rnacentral:rRNA from 1 species
AUUGAACGCUGGCGGCAGGCUUAACACAUGCAAGUCGAACGAUGAUUAUCUAGCUUGCUAGAUAUGAUUAGUGGCGGACGGGUGAGUAACAUUUAGGAAUCUGCCUAGUAGUGGGGGAUAGCUCGGGGAAACUCGAAUUAAUACCGCAUACGACCUACGGGUGAAAGGGGGCGCAAGCUCUUGCUAUUAGAUGAGCCUAAAUCAGAUUAGCUAGUUGGUGGGGUAAAGGCCCACCGAGGCGACGAUCUGUAACUGGUCUGAGAGGAUGAUCAGUCACACCGGAACUGAGACACGGUCCGGACUCCUACGGGAGGCAGCAGUGGGGAAUAUUGGACAAUGGGGGCAACCCUGAUCCAGCCAUGCCGCGUGUGUGAAGAAGGCCUUUUGGUUGUAAAGCACUUUAAGCAGGGAGGAGAGGCUAAUGGUUAAUACCCAUUAGAUUAGACGUUACCUGCAGAAUAAGCACCGGCUAACUCUGUGCCAGCAGCCGCGGUAAUACAGAGGGUGCGAGCGUUAAUCGGAAUUACUGGGCGUAAAGCGAGUGUAGGUGGCUCAUUAAGUCACAUGUGAAAUCCCCGGGCUUAACCUGGGAACUGCAUGUGAUACUGGUGGUGCUAGAAUAUGUGAGAGGGAAGUAGAAUUCCAGGUGUAGCGGUGAAAUGCGUAGAGAUCUGGAGGAAUACCGAUGGCGAAGGCAGCUUCCUGGCAUAAUAUUGACACUGAGAUUCGAAAGCGUGGGUAGCAAACAGGAUUAGAUACCCUGGUAGUCCACGCCGUAAACGAUGUCUACUAGCCGUUGGGGUCCUUGAGACUUUAGUGGCGCAGUUAACGCGAUAAGUAGACCGCCUGGGGAGUACGGCCGCAAGGUUAAAACUCAAAUGAAUUGACGGGGGCCCGCACAAGCGGUGGAGCAUGUGGUUUAAUUCGAUGCAACGCGAAGAACCUUACCUGGUCUUGACAUAGUGAGAAUCCUGCAGAGAUGCGGGAGUGCCUUCGGGAAUUCACAUACAGGUGCUGCAUGGCUGUCGUCAGCUCGUGUCGUGAGAUGUUGGGUUAAGUCCCGCAACGAGCGCAACCCUUUUCCUUAUUUGCCAGCGGGUUAAGCCGGGAACUUUAAGGAUACUGCCAGUGACAAACUGGAGGAAGGCGGGGACGACGUCAAGUCAUCAUGGCCCUUACGACCAGGGCUACACACGUGCUACAAUGGUAGGUACAGAGGGUUGCUACACAGCGAUGUGAUGCUAAUCUCAAAAAGCCUAUCGUAGUCCGGAUUGGAGUCUGCAACUCGACUCCAUGAAGUCGGAAUCGCUAGUAAUCGCAGAUCAGAAUGCUGCGGUGAAUACGUUCCCGGGCCU